GUCGUUCUUGUCAGUUCGUAGCCGGAUAAAUUUAGUCCGAUUACUACGAACCAACAGAAUUUUCACCGGAAUUUGAAGCGAUUUUGCUUCUUUAUUUCGCUUUUUUCCUCCUUCUUCUUCUGU
rnacentral:sRNA from 1 species